rnacentral:rRNA from 1 species
UACGUAGGGGGCAAGCGUUGUCCGGAAUCAUUGGGCGUAAAGCGCGUGUAGGCGGUUCGGUAAGUCUGCUGUGAAAGUCCAGGGCUCAACCCUGGGAUGCCGGUGGAUACUGUCGGGCUAGAGUGCGGAAGAGGCGAGUGGAAUUCCUGGUGUAGCGGUGAAAUGCGCAGAUAUCAGGAGGAACACCAAUUGCGAAGGCAGCUCGCUGGGACGUUACUGACGCUGAGACGCGAAAGCGUGGGGAGCAAACAGG